UCAGAAACUUUUUUUUCCCUAAUUCCCAUUCACCUUCACCGCCAUUCCUCUUCUUCUUCCUUCUCAUUCCUUCUUCUUCCUUCUUAAACCGACACCCUUCCCACUUUCCUUUUCCUUUUCUUUCCUUCUUCUUCAAGCGGCAGCAGCACCGGCACCAGCACCGGCACCACCUUCACCAUCUUCUUCCUCCUUCUUCUUGUAAUUGUUGGUGUAAACAAACUAAGGAGACGACUUUAUCGAAGAGCCCUUCUAGUAAACGCGGAGUACCAGACUUAGCUUCUUGAAGCGUUCUUUUGUUGAUUACAGAUCGGAUCCGGUCGGGAAUAAACGGGUUAGCAAUGUUGAUGAGAGUGCUAAGGAUGUCGUUUUGAGCUGAGGCCGUGGAAGCUUAUAGUUUGUAUUAGGAAUUUGUUUAAUGUAUAUUAGUUCUGAUUAUGUUGAUUAUAAUGGACUCGUAGCGAGUUGUAUGGUUACUUUAUAUUUAGAUUAGAUAUUUGGUUUGAGACUUAA